rnacentral:rRNA from 1 species
AACGCGAAGAACCUUACCAGGGUUUGACAUCCUGCGACCGCCUCCUAAUAGGGGUUUUCCCGCAAGGGACGCAGAGACAGGUGCUGCAUGGCUGUCGUCAGCUCGUGUCGUGAGAUGUUGGGUUAAGUCCCGCAACGAGCGCAACCCUCGCCUUUAGUUGCCAUCAUUCAGUUGGGCACUCUAGCGAGACUGCCUAGGUUAACUAGGAGGAAGGUGAGGAUGACGUCAAGUCCGCAUGGCCUUUAUGUCCAGGGCUACACACGUGCUACAAUGGUCGGUACAGAAGGCAGCGAAAUCGCGAGAUGGAGCAAAUCCUCAAAGCCGACCCCAGUUCAGAUUGGAGUCUGCAACUCGACUCCAUGAAGAUGGAAUUGCUAGUAAUGGCGGGUCAGCAACACCGCCGUGAAUACGUUCCCGGGCCUUGUACACACCGGUACUA